rnacentral:rRNA from 1 species
AUUGAACGCUGGCGGCAUGCUUUACACAUGCAAGUCGAACGCGUGGCGAACGGGUGAGUAAUAUAUCGGAACGUACCGAGUAAUGGGGGAUAACCAAUCUAAAGAUUGGCUAAUACCGCCUAUUCUUCUAGCGGCCGAUAACUGAUUAGCUAGUUGGUGGGGUAAAGGCCUACCAAGGCGACGAUCAGUAGCGGGUAUGAGAGGACGAUACGCCACAAUGGGAGUGAGACACGGCCCAGAAUCCGACGGGAGGCAGCAGUGGGGAAUUUUGGACAAUGGGGGCAACCCGGAACCAGCCAUGCCGCGUGUAUGAAGAAGGCCUUCGGGUUGUAAAGUACUUUUGUUAGGGAAGCGGUACCUAAAGAAUAAGCACCGGGUAACUACGUGCCAGCAGCCGCGGUAAUUC